rnacentral:tRNA from 3 species
GCGCCCGUAGCUCAGUCGGUUAGAGCGCAUCGCUGAUAACGAUGAGGUCGGAGGUUCGAUUCCUCCCGGGCGCACCA